rnacentral:lncRNA from 1 species
UUUGUCUUUAGGUGUCGGAAGUCCCAGGACCCAACAUCUCUGCUUCAUUGAAAAUACAGAUACACUACUCAAAAUUGUAGCCCUUGGAGCUGGAAAGUGACGUCUGUUUUCACUUAAUAUGUCAUUUUGUUUUCCAGGUGGAAUACACAUUAUUCCUGGACAAACCUUGGAGCAGACCUGCCCUUGGUGCUGGCAGGGUGAGGUCAAAUAUCUGAGCCUGCUCUCCACCUGGAAGUGUGGUAUCAGUGUCCACCCAUUAAUUGGGGCUGUUCCCAGAUGUUAGGUCAUCCUGGCAGCAUGGGUAGAGGAGGGACUCCACCUCUGCCUCAUGGUGGGGAGUUGGCCUGGCUGCUACCUCUGUCUGGAAUAUUCUUCACAGGCCUUGCUCAUACCUCUUUAUCUGGGUCAGUUCCUGCUCUGCCUUUGAUGUCAACCUACUUCCUCAAGACAUCUCUUGAGUAAGUUAAAAUCCCUGUUUUAUGGCCUGAGGAUGUUGGAUAUAUGUCUCCGUGUGAGCCUUUGUAUAAAAUGCAUCCUGAAGCCGAAUGUCUGUGUGAACACAGGACACACAGAUAUUCGUUAUAUUAUUAGCUAUAUGUUUAUUUUAAUAUAUGCUUUUAUGUCAUAUUUUAAAAUAUAUUUUAACUGAAAUAGAACUCACGUUUCCCCCUCUGUUUCCAUUCUCCAGGUAGUCUCCCUUCAUUCCCUCCCACUGGCCUCCAAAUGGUAGCCUCUCUUUCUUUGAUUGCUACAUACAUGUGUAUAUAAGUCACAGAUACAUUAGUUUUUGUUGGUGGUGUAUAUAUGGUUCCAAGGCUGACCAUACUGCAUUGGAAACCAAUAAGGGGCCUCAUCCCUGGAAGAGGGUUCUCCCAGCAGUCAUUAAGUACCGCUGUUCUUUAUCUAUGGGUGGGACCCUUCCAUGUUAGUAUGUCUAUUCCAUGAUGUUGCCAUUGUUACAAUCUUGUUAUGGGGUCAUUUCUAAGAGAGACUGUUCCACAGCAGACUUCCUGGUGUUCUGGUUCUUACAUUCUUUCUGCCUCCUCUUCCUUGAUGUUCCCUGAACCUUCAGUGCAGAGCCAUGAUAUAGAUGUAUCUCUCUUGAGGAUGGACUCCCCAUGAUCUAUUGAUUUCGGCAUUGUGUCCAUCUGUGGUUUUCAGUUUGAUGUAAGGAGAGGUCUCUUUGAUGAGGUUUGGUAGCAACACUCGCCCAAUAAAGGUGCCUUGUUCACAAAGAGUGCUUAUGGG